UACGUAGGGUGCGAGCGUUGCUCGGAAUCACUGGGCGUAAAGCGCACGUAGGCGGCUUUUUAAGUCAGGGGUGAAAUCCUGGAGCUCAACUCCAGAACUGCCUUCGAUACUGGGAAUCUUGAGUCCGGGAGAGGUGAGUGGAACUGCGAGUGUAGAGGUGAAAUUCGUAGAUAUUCGCAAGAACACCAGUGGCGAAGGCGGCUCACUGGCCCGGUACUGACGCUGAGGUGGCGAAAGCGUGGGGAGCAAACAGG
rnacentral:rRNA from 1 species